AAUGAACGCUGGCGGCGUGCUUUACACAUGCAAGUCGAGCGAGGCGGGUAGCAAUACCCAGUCGAGCGGCGAACGGGUGAGUAACGCGUGGAUGACCUGCCCUGAGGUGGGGGAUAACCCGGGGAAACUCGGGCUAAUACCGCAUAUGACGGUGACGUCAAAGGGGGCCGCAAGGCUCUCGCCACAGGAGGGGUCCGCGUUCGAUUAGCUAGUUGGUAGGGUAAUGGCCUACCAAGGCCACGAUCGAUAGCCGGCCUGAGAGGGUGAUCGGCCACACUGGAACUGAGACACGGUCCAGACUCCUACGGGAGGCAGCAGUGGGGAAUUUUGCGCAAUGGGCUAACGCCUGACGCAGCAACGCCGCGUGGAGGAUGAAGGUCUUUGGAUUGUAAACUCCUGUCAGCGGGGAAAAAGCAACCCGACCUCAUACGUCGGGAAGUUGAUUGUACCCGCAGAGGAAGCCCGGCUAACUCCGUGCCAGCCGCCGCCGUAAC
rnacentral:rRNA from 1 species